AUUAUAUUCCUCCGUCCAACAAAGGAUGUCUCAACUUUGACUAAAUUCGAAUGCAUCUAUAUACUAAGUCAUUAUACAUCCAAAUUUUGGCAAACUUGAGACAUCUUUUGUUGGAUGGAGGGAGUAGUAA
rfam:Brachypodium distachyon strain Bd21 chromosome 1, whole genome shotgun sequence.